rnacentral:tRNA from 1 species
AAAGACAAUACUCACGAAAAGCUUCUAACUUUUCUUCAAGCAUUUAAUUGUUUUA